UGAGGUAGAGCUUUGCUGCUGGCAGCGCUUGUGUCAGGUUUCUCGGUGGUUUCUCUCACGUGCUCCUGCAUCGUUGCACCUUCAUAUCGAGGAGAGGGUGCGCUAGCCCGUAUUCCUGGGCUGGGACCAAAGUGCAAGCCACUGAAAUAUUCCUCAAAUUAUGAGGGCAAGGAUUUUCUGUGGUUAUUGGAAUGGCAUCUGAAGCCCCACUGACUGGAAUCCAAUCCUGCCUUCACCGCGUCCUUUGAUUGUUAUGAAGGACCUUCAGGACAUCAUAUAAUUUCACCCAAAAACAUUUCAAUGUGUGUCUGUAAGAGGUCAACAUUAUACGGUGACCCAGAUGGGACCCAAAAGAGAUGAACCCCUGAGGAACUAAUGACCCUCAGAACCAUGUGAAGUACCCACUUGAGUGCCUAGUACUCUCUGCUUCCUUUCAGUUUGGACUGAAGACCUUGUUGAUCCACUCAAUGAACAAGAUCCAGGUGACCCAAGCCUUGUUGUUGGACCUCCACAUAACAUUUAACUGGCUCUUCUGCACCUUGCAUUUCUUGAAGGCUCAUGGAUUCUUGGAAUGAUACACAAGCGAGGGCUUGACUUUGAAAUCUCCACUUGCGUUAGCACAAAGCAAGAUGGUAACACUUGGAAACCAUGAUCUUAUGGAACUCAGUAGCAAAUGCCUCAGCUGCCUUAGCGUCCGAACUCACAGCCUGUCCGUGCCUCACAAUGCUAUGGAUGCCACCUCUCCUCUUAAAGUUAUCAAACCAUCCCCUGCUUGCCUUGAAGACUUCUUAAUUUUCUGUUGAUGUACCUGGCAGUUUACUUAUGAGGUUGGUGUACAAGGCCUUUGCCUUCUUGCAGAUAAAAGUUCUUGGUCACUGUAUCACCUGCUAGUUGCUUCUCAUUUAUCCAAACCAGAAGCAACUUUUCUACAUUUUUCAGAAUACGUGCCAUUUCUUUGAUAUUCCCGUGACUCCUUUUGCUGCAUCUAGUCCCAUUGUUUCUUCUUUCUUCUUUAAUAUUGUGCAAAUGGUCAACGUAGACUUCUUAUGAAGUCUUGCAAUUUUGGCCACUUGCAUACCUCGUUUGUACUUC